CCUACGGGAGGCAGCAGUGGGGAAUAUUGGGCAAUGGGCGCAAGCCUGACCCAGCAACGCCGCGUGAAGGAAGAAGGCCUUCGGGUUGUAAAACUCUUUUGAUAGGGAAGAGUAGAAAACGGUACAUGUCGAAUAAGCUACGGCUAAUUACGUGCCAGCAGCAGCGGUAAUACGUAGGUGGCAAGCGUUGUCCGGAUUAACUGGGAGUAAAGGGCGGGUAGCCGGGGUGAUAAGUCAGAUGUGAAAUCCUGCGGCUUAACCGCAGAAAUGCAUUUGAAACUGGUGAUCUUGAGUACUGGAGAGGCAGACGGAAUUCCUGGUGUAGCGGUGAAAUGCGUAGAUAGUAGGAAGAACACCAGUGGCGAAGGCGGUCUGCUGGACUGCAACUGACGGUGAGGCGCGAAAGCGUGGGGAGCAAACAGGAUUAGAUACCCGUGUAGUC
rnacentral:rRNA from 1 species